rnacentral:rRNA from 1 species
UACGAAGGGGGCUAGCGUUGUUCGGAAUUACUGGGCGUAAAGCGCACGUAGGCGGAUUAGUAAGUCAGGGGUGAAAUCCCGGGGCUCAACCUCGGAACUGCCUUUGAUACUGCUGAUCUCGAGUCCGGAAGAGGUGAGUGGAAUUCCUGGUGUAGAGGUGAAAUUCGUAGAUAUUAGGAAGAACACCAGUGGCGAAGGCGUCUCACUGGGCCGGUACUGACGCUGAGGUGCGAAAGCGUGGGUAUCAAACACG